UUUUAUAGUCUUUAUUCAUUUGUUUGUCAGUAUAAAUUCUUAUUUUACAUCUAGCUUUAAGUUCUUGCAGUUCCCUAACUAUUUGGCGCAUAGUUAAUUAAUCUAUUAAGUACUGAUGUUUGUGCAGAAGUUGAAUCAUAAUAUUCUUUAUUCUGACUUUAACUUUCUUACAUUCAAUUCUUUCAUCUGAAGCACACUUCCACUAUGCUUAUGUUAUCUUGAAAAGCAUGCACUCCAUAAGUUCUUAAUUUUGUAAACUUGAAUGGAAUUUUUAAUACCUAUGUACUCCAGUAUUCUUUCUACUAGUUACUUCGUGUAGUAGGUUUCUCUUUGACUUGAUAUAAUGAUUCUUGAAGACAUAGUUGGUCAGUUUGAUCUGUUAAUGACUAGGUGAUUUUGUGUUUGUCUGAUGGAUUUAAAUUAAUGAGUCUGUUUCUAUUCUUGUGUAGCUUAAUCGAGCGACUUGUUUAUCAUGUAUUUCCAUAUCUAAUUUUAGAGUUCAAAAAAAAAAAAAAAAAAGAAUUGUUUUGUUAUGAAAUGGAGAUACAUCAUUCUGAGAAAGGAAAAAAAUGAGAAAGUGUCGGGGAAAAUGCAUAGCAGCAAUGUGCAACUCCUUUUAACAGAGGAAGAUUGUUAAUAGCCCUCCAAGAUCAAUUAAUGUAGGAGAAAAAGAUCGAUUCAUUGUGCUUUGAAGCCUUAAUUCAAACUCUUGUUUAUGUCCAUGAUCAACGCUUUCCCCAACAAUUUUAGCUCUCUUGGCCAGGUACCAUUGCUUUUAGGGAGAAACAGAAGCUAUAAUACUAAAAGAUAAGUGUUGAUUUGAGCUCCCAGCCAUGGCAAUUUUAUCCUCGUUACUCAACCUUCUGGUGCAUACUAGCAGGAUGAUAUUAAAUGUAGUUAUAACGUGGUAUACUAGUCUUUUGCCAAACAAAGAACUUUGUUUUUCUUCUUCAGAGAUGCUCACAAGCGCUUCACAUGGAGUAGUUUGUGUCACAAGGUUUCCGAUGCUAAUGUUCAAUCAUGGAUAAGCAUUGCCGCUGAAGCAGAGGUGGGUUCACUUAUCCUGAAGGAUUCACCUGGCCACGCUGUGUAUGGGAAAUAAGUGCGUGUAUGGGACACAAUUGCAGUAAUUGGUUGCAUCAUCCAGUAAUACCAUUAACCAUUGGGAUGAGGGGCAAGACUACUUAGGAACCGAGAACUUGUGAAGACACGAGCUUGCGAACACCUAGAACAAUCAUUUGUUGAAACUUUCAUCAACUGGCAUACAGGUAGUGUUCUAGGUCCUCAAUAUCCUAUUUAAUGACAAUUUCUUUAUCAGUACCUUUGUGUGUAGUUUUCAGUCUUAACUUGCCUCAGAUUAAAGUAGAAAACAGUGGUGAAGAAUGAUGUAACUUUUUGACGAAAGUGAGCUAUGAUGAAAUCAGAAAUGACUACAAAGUUGCACAUAACUAAAUAGCUAUCAAGGAGAGUCUCCUACUAUUAUUACAGAGUUCAUCAAGAAUAAAGAAACUUUUCAUAAUAUGAAACGCAUUCACAAAGAAGAGAAUUUUCUAUAUAGAACACAGGAUAGGUGUUAACACCAUUCACCUAGGUGCAGUGGCAAGAGAUUGAAUACUAACUUAUUCUAAGAACGAAGAAACUUUUCAUGAUAUGCAACGCAUUCACAAAGAAGAGAAUUUUCUAUAUAGAAUACAGGACAGGUGUUUACACCAUUCACCUAGGUGCAGUGGCAAGAAUUUGAAUGCUAACUUAUUCUAAGAAAUUAGCCUUUAAUUUAAUUAAAAAUUGACUAGAAUAUAUGUUGCUUGUCGGAUAGCUAAUUAUAUUUGACGGA